CCAAACUUGGUCCCAAUUUUAAUGCUAAGUUCUUUUUAUGCCCUCCAGGACUUUGUGGAGGAACCAAGGAAGCUCUAGAGCAGAGGUUCUCAACCUGUGAGUCUCAACCCUUUUGGGGGUCAUAUAUCAGAGAUUUACAUUACAAUUCAUAGCAGUAGUAAAAUUAUACUUAUGAAGUAGCAAUGGAAUAAUUUUAUGGUCAGGGAUCACCACAGCAUGAGGAACUGUAUUAAAGGGUCACAGCAUUAGGAAGGCUGAGAAUCAUUUUUCUGACUCACAUGGAAUUCUCUAGUGAACACCUCUUUGUCUUCAUUUUUGCCUGGACUCUGCUAGCUCCAUGGGCUGUGAUCAAUCUCUUUAGAAGCAUCCACCUUGAUGACUCAUCAUCCUUCAGAAGUCCCUGAAAGAUGCAUCUGUAUUCUCAUGGGGAGACUGGCUUUGUAGAAUCCACUAGACACUUCUGGGCUGAGUCUUCUGAAUGGUUUUGCAGUAGCCAAGUCCAGGCUUCCUGCCCUGGGCCAGGCUAUGCUGAGACUGUAAAGCCAGCAAUCAUCCUGGCUCUCAGGAAAGACGGUGUGUCCUAGAAGUCUAAACUGGCCGCCACUGGUGAUGGUUAGUGUUAGUGUCUGGAUGUGUAGAAAACCAUAGAAAUGUUUACACACAAUCCUAAGCUUGGUGGCGGAAUGAAACUGAAGCAGCUCUGUUAACGUGAGGCUGCCUUUGUGUCCUAUGCAGUUUGGUUUUCAUAGGAUCUUGUCCUUGUAGAAUAAUUUUGGAGCACUUCUGUCUUAGGGUUUCCAUUGCUGUAAAGCCACCAUGACCAAAGCAGCUCUUAUAAGGACAACAUCUAAUUGGGCCUGGCUUACAUGUUCAGAGGUUCAGUCUAUUAUCAUCAAGGUAGGAACAUGGCAGCAUCCAGGUAGGCAUGGUGCAGGAGGAGCUAGGCAUUCAACAUCUUGUUCCAAGGCAAAUAGGAGAAGACUGGCUCCCAUGUGGCUAGGAGAAGGGUCUCAAAGCCCACCCUGACAGUGACACCCUUCCUUCAACAAAGCCACACCUACUCCAACAAGGCCACACCUCCUAAUAGUACCACUCCCUGGGCCAAACAUGUACAAACCACCACAUUUUCUAACCAGCAUGUCGUGAGAGGAGGCAUCUGUCCUGUCGAUAGUGGGAUUUUUAGAUUUUUUUUUUUUUGAAGCUGGGUUUCCUCCCAGCUGGUACUGACCCACUCCAAGGCUUCUGGUUUGCCCAUGCAUUUUUUUCAUUCCUCGGUUUCAAGAAACAAUCCAGAGGUCCCUCAGUAGACAAACACAGCUUUCAGUCAGCAUGCAAUGGAAUAUUACAGAUUAGUGAAAAGGCACAAGCUGUGGCAGAUUGACCAACAGAGGUGAGUGUCAAAUAUGCCAAGCAGGAGUUCACACUCUAGGUUCAUUUCUGUUUAGUCAAGCAAAGGUGAAAGCACUGUGCGUGACAGGCUUCAGGCAUGUGACCCUGGGGCCUGGGGUCAGCACCUCCCUACAGGAGGCUCCAGGGAACAUUAAGUAGGUGGUUACAGAUAUUUUCUUUCUUGGUGCAGGCAGCAUUGACACAACAGUGUACCUGAACUCCUAGGCAUACAAAUGCUGACUGCAUUUGCUUUGUUGUUUAUGGAGAUAGAGUCUCAUGUAUCCCAUGCUGGCCUCCAACUUGCUAUGUAGCUGAGGAUACCCCUGACUCUCACUCUUCCAGGUACUGGGAUAACAUAAUCACACCACACAGCAUUUUGUGUGGUGCUUGGUGUCAGAUCCAGGGCUCUGUGCAUGUUUGGCAAGCAUUCUACUAACCGAGCCACAUCCUAGUCUAAUCAUACUGAUUUUAGAAAUUAUUUACCUUUUAUAUGUUCAAAUACCAUAGAGAAUAAUAUUUUCAUGAAAUUCCACAACAUAUUAAACAAGAUUUUAAGAUAAUUUAUUCCAUGAUCUAACUACAUGUGCACAUGUAGAAUAUGUGUAACCAUAUGAUUAUCAUGUAAUCUGGUUUCAUGUACACACACAUGUAUGUUUCCAUGUACACACGUGUAUUGUUUGAAAUAUCCCAGGGUUUGAACAAAAUGUACCCUGUAAUUACCUUGUGAGCAAUUUCUGUUUUCUUUUUUAUGCUUUUCUAUAUUACCAGAUGUUCCUUAAUGAACACUUUUAUAUUCACAAACAAAUUAAAUAAAAUCAAGCAUAUCUCCUUUCCUGUUUUGCCAACUCCAGCAGAUCUGGGAGGUGGAACUGGACUCCGAGAUGGGAUUCAGAGAACACCCCAACUCCAUCAAAGUGAGAUGGCUGCAGGGAAAAUGGCUUUGGUCUGGAACACCCAACCCUCUGCCCUUGGCUUUGUCCCUACUGAGCCCUGCAGAGCUAACGUGCUCUGUGGGCAAGGGGAGCCCGGAGAGCCCUGUCCCAGGCAGACCUUUCUGAUUGCAGGGCUGACCUCCGGCCAUGUGCACCUCUCUGGGAACAGCUGCCUUCUGUAUUGCCCUGCCCAGCAUAGGGUUUGGGUUCAGAUCUUGUUGGUCACCCUGACACCUCAAGGGCUAGAGGCAAUAGCACUGACAACACAGGUGGGACGAGCCUGUGUCAGUGA
rnacentral:lncRNA from 1 species